UGUUUAUGUAUUACAUAUACUUGAAUGACAAGAUUCUCAAAUGUUAAUUAUGAAAUGACAAUACACACGUGUUGUUUACAUAAUUAUCUGCCUGUAAGCCAAUUAUGUCCUGAUAAAUAUUUUCUUUUUUUAAAAAGAACAGUUAUUUGAAUUAUUUUUUGGGCUUGUAAUAUUUUUUAUUUUAAUUUUUUUUUGGGGGGGGGGGUGUUCAUUUAAAGAAAAACAAACUAAAUUGUUUUAUUGGUAACUGAUAUAUAUUUAGGUAAAUGUAAAAUUAUUAAAAUGCAUACAUUAAAAUU
rnacentral:sRNA from 1 species